rnacentral:rRNA from 1 species
AGAGUUUGAUCCUGGCUCAGAAUGAACGCUGGCGGCGUGCCUAACACAUGCAAGUCGGAUGUGCCGCAAGGUGCAUGGCAGACGGGUGAGUAACGCGUGGGGAAUCUACCUCUUUGUGGGGAAUAACGCUCCGAAAGGAGUGGUAAUACCGCAUGAGACCUUCGGCUGGGAUGCUGGAGGUGAAACCUGGGGACCGCAAGGCCUGGGGCAAGGAGAGGAUCCUGCGUCUGAUUAGCUAGUUGGCGGGGUAAUGGCCCACCAAGGCGACGAUCAGUAGCCGGCCUGAGAGGGUGAUCGGCCACACUGGAACUGAGACACGGUCCAGACUCCUACGGGAGGCAGCAGUGGGGAAUUUUGCGCAAUGGACGAGAGUCUGACGCAGCAACGCCGCGUGGGUGAUGAAGGUCUUCGGACUGUAAAACCCUGUCGUCAGGGA